UACGUAGGGGGCAAGCGUUGUUCGGAAUUACUGGGCGUAAAGCGCACGUAGGCGGCUUUGUAAGUUAGAGGUGAAAGCCCGGAGCUCAACUCCGGAACUGCCUUUAAGACUGCAUCGCUUGAAUCAUGGAGAGGUCAGUGGAAUUCCGAGUGUAGAGGUGAAAUUCGUAGAUAUUCGGAAGAACACCAGUGGCGAAGGCGACUGACUGGACAUGUAUUGACGCUGAGGUGCGAAAGCGUGGGGAGCAAACGGGG
rnacentral:rRNA from 1 species